UCUGUGUACUGCCUGGAACAUAGAGGCCCAUUUCCCCAUCAGUGAGAAGCAUUUUCUUUAAGUGCCUAUGCAGUUAUGACUGUCAGCUCCAGGCAGGGCCCUCUUUCCUUCUGUCACCCUGAAUGGAGGAACGGAUACAAGAAACAGCUUCCUAUGUAGAGAAGUCUCUGCAGCGGAUACCAGAGUGUGAACAGAAGUCUUCAGAGUUCAUAUGAUGUAUUUGCUUUAAUAUCAAGUGGGGAAAAAUAAGAGAUAAGAGAAAGAUGA